rnacentral:tRNA from 1 species
GGCGGGGUAGCUCAGCUGGUUAGAGCGACGGAAUCAUAAUCCGCAGGUCGUGGGUUCGAAUCCCUCCCCCGCUA